GACGAACGCUGGCGGCGUGCUUAACACAUGCAAGUCGAACGGUGAAGCGCCUUCCUUUUUGGUGGGUGUGGAUGAGUGGUGAACGGGUGAGUAACACGUGAGUAACCUGUCCCCUACUUCUGGAUAACCGCAUGAAAGCGUGCCUAAUACGGGAUAUUUAGGGCCUGUCGCAUCAUGGGUCCGGGGAAGAUAUUGUAUCGGUGGGGGCUGGUCUCGCGGCCUUUCAGUUUGUUGGUGGGGUGAUGGCCUACCAAGGCGGUGACGGGUAGCCGGCCUGAGAGGGAGGACGGUCACGCUGGGACUGAGGCUCGGCCCAGACUCGUACGGGAGGCAGCAGUGGGGAAUAUGGCAGGAAGGAGGCGAGCAUGAUGCAGAGACGGCGCGUGAGGGAUGGAGGCCCUCGGGUUGUAAACCUCUUUCGCCAGUGAAGCAGGCCUGCCUCAUUUGUGGGUGGGUUGGCGGUAGCUGGAUGAAAAGCGCCGGGUAACUACGGUC
rnacentral:rRNA from 1 species